GUUAUUCUUUCCAGUGGCUUCUUGGUCUCGCUGACUUCAAGAAUGAAGCUGUGGACCCUCAUGGUUUACAGAAGCAGAUCCAGGGAUAAGGCAUUGGUGUGCUAGUGAUUUAUCAAGAAGGUACUCAGAGGACAAACUGAUAAGAAAUUGC
rnacentral:lncRNA from 1 species